AGAAUCAACGCUGGCGGCGUGCCUAACACAUGCAAGUCGCACGAGAAAGGGAGCUUCGGUUCCUGAGUAAAGUGGCGCACGGGUGAGUAACACGUGAAUCAUCUACCUUCGAGUGUGGAAUAACUGAGAGAAAUCUUAGCUAAUACCGCAUAAUACCUACGGGUCAAAGCAGCAAUGCGCUUGAAGAGGAGUUCGCGGCAGAUUAGUUAGUUGGCGGGGUAAUGGCCCACCAAGACGAUGAUCUGUA
rnacentral:rRNA from 1 species